rnacentral:rRNA from 1 species
GGACGAACGCUGGCGGCGUGCUUAACACAUGCAAGUCGAACGGAAAGGCCCUGCUUUUGUGGGGUGCUCGAGUGGCGAACGGGUGAGUAACACGUGAGUAACCUGCCCUUGACUUUGGGAUAACUUCGGAAACUGGGGCUAAUACCGGAUAGGAGCUCCUGCUGCAUGGUGGGGGUUGGAAAGUUUCGGCGGUUGGGGAUGGACUCGCGGCUUAUCAGCUUGUUGGUGGGGUAGUGGCUUACCAAGGCUUUGACGGGUAGCCGGCCUGAGAGGGUGACCGGCCACAUUGGGACUGAGAUACGGCCCAGACUCCUACGGGAGGCAGCAGUGGGGAAUAUUGCACAAUGGGCGGAAGCCUGAUGCAGCAACGCCGCGUGCGGGAUGACGGCCUUCGGGUUGUAAACCGCUUUCGCCUGUGACGAAGCGUGAGUGACGGUAAUGGGUAAAGAAGCACCGGCUAACUACGUG